CUCAUGCAGCAAGUUGUAGGUGCCAAUGGGUCUGAAAACUUCAUCUUCAAGUAUCAGGGAGUCAGCAUGUCAUACAUGGUCAGAGAUUUAUCUGAAGAGAUCCUGAGUUGAAAAUGCAAGUACUUUGGUCUCUACCCAUCACCAUGAGACUAAGGACAGAAAAUCAGCAAGGAAACAUGAAAAGUCUCUUCCCUCAAAAUUCUGUUCAGAAACAAAAGAACCCCUUAGACAACUCAUCUAUGGGAGAAUGAGUUGGAUUCCAUUCUGGCUAACACACCAUCAACAGAACUGUUAGCUAGGCCCCAAACUGCAAAUUCGUUAUUACUGUUUGCAUGUGAGCAGGGAAGAACACAGU